AGCCCUCGUGAGUGGCAUUAGGCUUGACUGACUUACAAAAAAUCUUAACCAACUGUGUUCAGCCCUUUUCCCUUUCUGCCCUCUGCCAUGUGAGGUCACAGUGUUCCUCCCUCCUGAGGAUGCAGUGUUCAUGAAAGCAAACACUGGGCCCUCACCAGGCAACAAACCUGCUGGUGCCUUCAUCUUGGACUUCCCAGCCUUCGGAACUAUGGAGCCCGCACUCUCCAGUUCAUCACCACCCCAGCAUCCCUACUCUUGCAUCUAACAGUUUCCGCUAUUUUGCACCACCUGCCUGGCCCUUAUGGGCAACUCAAGGAAGAAAGGAAAGAAGAGAUAGAGGAAAAAUGGAUUCAACAAAUGAAAGUGUUCUUUCUGACUACUGCUGUGUUUACAAACAUUUUAAUCAUCAAAACAUGCUUUAUUUGAUAGAAAGAUCAAAUCUGCCUUUGUAAAACAAGAGACUAUUUUAAUCAUUAAGACAACACACAUGUUUGAUUUGGAGGCGUGUUCUCAUUCAAAACCUUGCAAAAUAUAAUUUCUUCUUGUCUGGGAGAUGGUGUCUUUCUUCGGGGAGAACCUUGAGAGAAAUGUCUAUGAAUGUGUCUGUAGAUUGAGGAUAGGCCAACAAACAUAUUUUGAAAUAUUUUUUCUUUCUUUUAAAAAAAUAGAUACUUUUAAAAGAAAAUGCUUAUUUAAAUUACAUAGCUCUUUUUUUCACUCUCAGUCAUCAUUUGUGGUUUCAGUCAGUACUACAUUUAUUCCCCAGAGCUAGGAUUGCUGUGUUUUUAGAAAGGGAGCCUGUUUGAAGGGACUCUAUACUCUUGCAGUAAUUAAAAUCCUUUUAGGAGUCUUUGACUUUGACUUACUGCUUUGUUUUAAAUUAUUGAAAUUAUUCAACUUCCCCAUUCUAACCCACGGAAGGCUGUUGUUGUUCUCAUUUAUAAUGGCACAAUAUAAGUUUAAAGAUAGCUGUCUCCACAUGAAUGCAUCUGCAAAUCCAUCUCUCUUCUCUCUUCUGCCAUCCAGGUUAAGAAGCUCCACUGCGCUUUGUCCAUUGCAAGUUGAGAAGUGAGGCCCCAGCUGUCACAUACAGCAGUGGUGGCUGAGAGGAAGAACUGACACCUUUGUGCUAUCAGAGCACUUUGCAGAGGAGCUGUUAGUGGCCCUGUAGGAGUCUGCUGGCCAUACAUCUGGGUGUCAAAUCAAGAGAGCAUGAGAAGUUGGACAGGAAAGGUCCAAGGCAAAAUGGUUACUAAAGGCCAUCCCUGAUCCUGACCCUAAAAGAAGAAAAGGCCCUUUGCUCUUGGCAUGCUUUUGCAGGAGUGUCUCAGUCUGUUUGGGCUGCUAUAACAUUGACUGGGUGAUCUGCCUGCCUGGCCUCCCAAAGUGCUGGGGUUACAGGUGUGAGCCGCUGCACCAGGCCUUGAGGUCAGGAGUUCGAGACCAGCCUGGCCAACAUGGUGAAACCUGUCUUUACUAAAAAUACAGAAAUUAGCCAGGCAUGGAGGCGCAUGCCUGUAAUCCCAGCUACUGGGGAGGCUGAGGCAGGAGAAUCGCUUGAACCCAGAAGGUGGAGGUUGCGGUGAGCCCAGAUAGUGCCAUUGCACUCUAGCCUGGCCAACAAGAGUGAAACUCUGUCUCAAAAAAUAAAUAAACAAACAAACAAACAACAAC
rnacentral:lncRNA from 10 species